ensembl:lncRNA
CUGGUUAAAUAAAGGUGUUCUCAACUGGCCUACCUGGUUAAAUAAAGGUGUUCUCAACUGGCCUACCUGGUUAAAUAAAGGUGUUCUCAACUGGCCUCCCUGGUUAAAUAAAGGUGUUCUCAACUGGCCUACCUGGUUAAAUAAAGGUGUUCUCAACUGGCCGACCUGGUUAAAUAAAGGUGUUCUCAACUGGCCGACCUGGUUAAAUAAAGGUGUUCUCAACUGGCCGACCUGGUUAAAUAAAGGUGUUCUCAACUAGCCUACCUGGUUAAAUAAAGGUGUUCUCAACUGGCCUACCUGGUUAAAUAAAGGUGUUCUCAACUGGCCUACCUGGUU